rnacentral:rRNA from 1 species
CCUACGGGAGGCAGCAGUGAGGAAUAUUGGUCAAUGGACGAGAGUCUGAACCAGCCAAGUAGCGUGAAGGAUGACUGCCCUAUGGGUUUUAAACUUCUUUUAUAAAGGAGUAAAACGCGGCACGUGUGCCUUUUUGCAUGUCCUUUAUGAAUAAGGAUCGGCUAACUCCGUGCCAGCAGCCGCGGUAAUACGGAGGAUGCGAGCGUUAUCCGGAUUUAUUGGGUUAAAAGGGUGCGCAGUCGGAGGCACAAGUCAGCGGUAAAAUCGCGGGGCCAAACCCCGCUCCGCCGUUGAAACUGUGGCCGUUGAGUGCGCGAAGGGUAGGCGGAAUGCGUGGUGUAGCGGUGAAAUGCAUAGAUAUCACGCAGAACUCCGAUCGCGAAGACAGCUUACCGGAGCGCAACUGACGCUCAUGCACGAAAGCGUGGGUAUCGAACAGGAUUAGAUACCCUUGUAGUC